AUGGCGGAGGCGCCUCUGCUGCCGCGGAAGGACCAGGGGGACGCCGCCGAGGAGGGGGCGGGGCGCUGGCGGAGCGAGGCCGGGAAGCUAGCGUACCUGGCGCUGCCGAUGGUGGCGGUGAGCCUGUCGCAGUACGCGGUGCAGGUGUCCUCCAACAUGAUGGUCGGCCACCUCCCCGGCGUCCUCCCGCUCUCCUCCGCUGCCAUCGCCACCUCCCUCGCCUCCGUCUCCGGCUUCAGCCUCCUCAUCGGCAUGGCGAGCGCGCUGGAAACGCUCUGCGGCCAGGCCUACGGCGCGAGGCAGUACCACACUCUGGGGCUCCACACGUACCGAGCCAUCGUCACCCUCCUGGUGGUGUGCGUCCCGCUCUCGCUCCUGUGGGCGUUCAUGGGCAAGAUCCUGGCGCUGAUCGGGCAGGACCCCCUGAUCGCGCACGGGGCCGGGAGGUACAUCGUGUGGCUCAUCCCUGGGCUCUUCGCCAACGCGGUGAUCCAGCCCAUCACCAAGUUCCUGCAGUCGCAGAGCCUCACCACGCCGCUGCUCCUGUCGUCCGUGGCGAGGCUGGCGCUCCACGUCCCGCUCUGCUGGGUCAUGGUGUUCAGGACCGGGAUGGGGUACACCGGCGCCGCCCUGGCCAUCAGCGUGUCAUACUGGCUCAACGUGGCUAUGCUCGUGGCCUACAUUGUGAUGUCGAGCUCCUGCAAGGAGACGCGCACGCCGCCGACCAUCAAGGCCUUCCGGGGGGUGGGUGUGUUCCUGCGCCUGGCCCUGCCCUCUGCGCUCAUGAUAUGUCUUGAGUGGUGGUCAUUUGAGCUGCUUAUUCUCAUGUCGGGGCUUCUGCCCAACCCGGAGCUUCAAACCUCGGUGCUCUCAAUAUGCCUCACGAGCAUCACAUUGCUCUUUACUAUACCUUAUGGACUUGGAGCUGCUGGAAGCACGCGAGUAGCAAACGAAUUAGGUGCUGGGAACCCCGAAGGAGCUCGAUCGGCGGUCCGUGUCGUCAUGUCGGUCGCGGUGACAGAGGCGGUGAUCGUCAGUGGAACCCUCUUGCUGUCACGGCGCCUCCUGGGCCGCGCUUACAGCAGCGAGGAGGAGGUCGCAUCCGCCGUCGCCGCCAUGGUUCCCCUCGUCUGCAUCACCGUGGUCACCGAUGGCUUGCAAGGGGUUCUCUCAGGCGUCGCUCGAGGAUGCGGGUGGCAGCACGUGGGCGCGUACGUCAACCUCGGCUCCUUCUACCUGCUCGGAAUCCCCAUGGCGAUGCUUCUGGGUUUUGUGCUCAAGAUGGGGGCAAAGGGGCUUUGGAUGGGCGUCGUCUGUGGAUCCAUCUCUCAGACCACGCUCCUCUCCGCCAUCACGUUUUUCACCAACUGGCAGAAGAUGGCUGACGAAGCUAGGGAGAGAUCGCUCAGUGAGAAGGCAAUGGAGUCUGAGUCGAGAUCUCUGCUGGAAUAG
rnacentral:rRNA from 1 species